rnacentral:rRNA from 1 species
UACCAGCACCUCGAGUGGUCAGGACGUUUAUUGGGCCUAAAGCAUCCGUAGCCGGCUUUGCAAGUCUCCGGUUAAAUCCAUUUGCUCAACAGAUGGGCCGCUGGAGAUACUACAAAGCUAGGGAGUGGGAGAGGCGGACGGUAUUCGUGGGGUAGGGGUAAAAUCCUCUGAUCCUACGAGGACCACCAGUGGCGAAGGCGGUCUGCCAGAACACGUUCGACGGUGAGGGAUGAAAGCUGGGGGAGCAAACCGG